rnacentral:tRNA from 1 species
GCCUGGGUGGCUCAGUCGGUUAAGCAUCUGACUUCGGCUCAGGUCAUGAUCUCGCGGUUCGUGAGUUUGAGCCCCACGUCAGGCU